rnacentral:rRNA from 1 species
AUUGAACGCUGGCGGCGUGCUUAACACAUGCAAGUCGUACGCGAAAGGGACUUCGGUCCCGAGUAAAGUGGCGCACGGGUGAGUAACACGUGGAUAAUCUGCCUCUAUGAUGGGGAUAACAGUUGGAAACGACUGCUAAUACCGAAUACGCUCAUGAUGAACUUUGUGAGGAAAGGUGGCCUCUGCUUGCAAGCUAUCGCAUAGAGAUGAGUCCGCGUCCCAUUAGCUAGUUGGUGGGGUAACGGCCUACCAAACCGACGAUGGAUAGGGGUUCUGAGAGGAAGGUCCCCCACAUUGGUUACGUGAGACACGGACCAG